rnacentral:rRNA from 1 species
AGAGUUUGAUCCUGGCUCAGGAUGAACGCCGGCGGUGUGCCUAAUACAUGCAAGUCGAACGCGUUGGCCCAACUGAUUGAACGUGCUUGCACGGACUUGACGUUGGUUUACCAGCGAGUGGCGGACGGGUGAGUAACACGUAGGUAACCUGCCCCAAAGCGGGGGAUAACAUUUGGAAACAGAUGCUAAUACCGCAUAACAAUUUGAAUCGCAUGAUUCAAAUUUAAAAGAUGGCUUCGGCUAUCACUUUGGGAUGGACCUGCGGCGCAUUAGCUUGUUGGUAGGGUAACGGCCUACCAAGGCUGUGAUGCGUAGCCGAGUUGAGAGACUGAUCGGCCACAAUGGAACUGAGACACGGUCCAUACUCCUACGGGAGGCAACAGUAGGGAAUCUUCCACAAUGGGCGCAAGCCUGAUGGAGCAACACCGCGUGAGUGAAGAAGGGUUUCGACUCGUAAAGCUCUGUUGUUAGAGAAGAACGUGCGUGAGAGCAACUGUUCACGCAGUGACGGUAUCUAACCAGAAAGUCACGGCUAACUACGUGCCAGCAGCCGCGGUAAUACGUAGGUGGCAAGCGUUAUCCGGAUUUAUUGGGCGUAAAGCGAGCGCAGGCGGUUUGAUAAGUCUGAUGUGAAAGCCUUUGGCUUAACCAAAGAAGUGCAUCGGAAACUGUCAGACUUGAGUGCAGAAGAGGACAGUGGAACUCCAUGUGUAGCGGUG